rnacentral:rRNA from 1 species
UGCAAGUCGAACGAUGAUCCCAGCUUGCUGGGGGAUUAGUGGCGAACGGGUGAGUAACACGUGAGUAACCUGCCCUUGACUCUGGGAUAAGCCUGGGAAACUGGGUCUAAUACCGGAUACGACCAUCUGGCGCAUGUCAUGGUGGUGGAAAGCUUUUGUGGUUUUGGAUGGACUCGCGGCCUAUCAGCUUGUUGGUGGGGUAAUGGCCUACCAAGGCGACGACGGGUAGCCGGCCUGAGAGGGUGACCGGCCACACUGGGACUGAGACACGGCCCAGACUCCUACGGGAGGCAGCAGUGGGGAAUAUUGCACAAUGGGCGCAAGCCUGAUGCAGCGACGCCGCGUGAGGGAUGACGGCCUUCGGGUUGUAAACCUCUUUCAGUAGGGAAGAAGCGAAAGUGACGGUACCUGCAGAAGAAGCGCCGGCUAACUACGUGCCAGCAGCCGCGGUAAUACGUAGGGCGCAAGCGUUAUCCGGAAUUAUUGGGCGUAAAGAGCUCGUAGGCGGUUUGUCGCGUCUGCUGUGAAAGACCGGGGCUCAACUCCGGUUCUGCAGUGGGUACGGGCAGACUAGAGUGCAGUAGGGGAGACUGGAAUUCCUGGUGUAGCGGUGAAAUGCGCAGAUAUCAGGAGGAACACCGAUGGCGAAGGCAGGUCUCUGGGCUGUAACUGACGCUGAGGAGCGAAAGCAUGGGGAGCGAACAGGAUUAGAUACCCUGGUAGUCCAUGCCGUAAACGUUGGGCACUAGGUGUGGGGGACAUUCCACGUU